rnacentral:rRNA from 1 species
UUUCGCAAUGCCCGAAAGGGUGACGAAGCGACGCCACGUGUGGGAAGAAGGCCUUCGGGUUGUAAACCACUGUCGGGAGUUAGGAAAUGCAGGUGCGUUAAUAGCGCACUUGCUUGACUAAGGCUCCAGAGGAAGCCACGGCUAACUCUGUGCCAGCAGCCGCGGUAAUACAGAGGCGGCAAGCGUUGUUCGGAAUUAUUGGGCGUAAAGAGCACGUAGGCGGCCUUGCAAGUCAGUUGUGAAAGCCUUCCGCUUAACGGAAGAACGGCAUCUGAUACUACAGGGCUUGAGUACGGGAGGGGAGAGUGGAACUUCUGGUGGAGCGGUGAAAUGCGUAGAUAUCAGAAGGAACGCCGGCGGCGAAAGCGACUCUCUGGUCCGAAACUGACGCUGAGUGUGCGAAAGCUAGGGGAGCAAACGGGAUUAGAUACCCUGGUAGUCCUAGCCGUAAACGAUGGGCACUAAGUAGAGGGGUUUU